GUGGGGAAUCUUGCGCAAUGGGCGAAAGCCUGACGCAGCCAUGCCGCGUGAAUGAUGAAGGUCUUAGGAUUGUAAAAUUCUUUCACCGGGGACGAUAAUGACGGUACCCGGAGAAGAAGCUCCGGCUAACUUCGUGCCAGCAGCCGCGGUAAUACGAAGGGGGCUAGCGUUGCUCGGAAUUACUGGGCGUAAAGGGCGCGUAGGCGGACAGCUUAGUCAGAGGUGAAAGCCCAGGGCUCAACCUUGGAAUUGCCUUUGAUACUGGCUGUCUUGAGUUUGGGAGAGGUGAGUGGAACUCCGAGUGUAGAGGUGAAAUUCGUAGAUAUUCGGAAGAACACCGGUGGCGAAGGCGACUUGCUGGCCAGCAACUGACGCUGAGGCGCGAAAGCCAGGGGAGCAAACGGGAUUAGAAACCCUAGUAGUCC
rnacentral:rRNA from 1 species